GAUGGCUACAUCAAAUGACACAGGUGUUCACAUCUUGAUUUGGAAUGUUUUUCAGUUUCCCUCUCCAUUUUAACUUUCUAUUUUCGAUUUCUGUGUCAGUGACAGUGACACUGAAACUUACUUUUGUAGCAUAUAAGAUCAGAAGAUUUUGUCUGCUGGUCUAUCCAUGGACUUAUUGAUGUCUUUCAUGUAGUGAACCGGGUUUGUGGAGGAUAAUAGUUUGGACUUGGUAACUAAGUGUGAGAUUGGAGGGUUAGUGUAUAUUUUUACUUUUUUAAUUAAGUCAUAAAUUUAAGAGAUAAAAAAACUAUAGGGACCAAGGCCGCUAUCUAUCUCUUGGUGAUACCCCUAAAUUCUGGAAAUUUUGGAGCUUAUGCUCCAUGAUCCGCUUCAAUUGUCAAGUUAAUAAAGGAUAAAUCAUAUCACUACUAGAAAAUGGUCAGUUGCAGCAAUGGGCCAAAAAAGCUGCCACCAUAGAUAGGGGGAACAAGAGGAGAGCACCAAGGGCACCAAGAGCAAGGUUGUCGCAACCAACCAUCAGCAUGCGUGCUUCCGGCAAAGACCUUGCCAUGUGAAGCCCACGUAAAGAAAAAAACGAUGCCAAAGCAAUUGAGGAGCCAACUGAAAACACCGAGGAGGAGGGAGCAACAACAACCAGCAAAAUGAGACCUAGUGCGAUGACUUCAACUUGCCAUCGGUGUUCAAGCUAAUGGAGACGUAGAGAGAUGUCGACACCGCAACAUCGUGAGAGCGAAAGAGCUUCACUAAAAUAUCGUCAAAAGCAAAAUACCAAUAGGAUAAGAACCAGCGAACCACGAACGAAAACUCAUGGGGCGAGCAAGAUCCUAGGCAGCCUUUCCCGGACGGCCUAAGGCUGAACGGAGAGUAAAUGAAAAGGCGAGGUCUUGAGAUUAUUUCGUCUAAAAAAGGAGAAGGAAAAAAUGGUGAGGUGAGUGGUAGCGGUCCAGAGACCCAACGACAGCUCAAAGAAAAGCUCAAAAGCCGAAACUUUGGUAGAGAGUCAAUAUGAAACUUCUAGAGAGAAGGGAGAGA